CAGCAGCCACGGUAAUACAGAGGGUGCGAGCGUUAAUCGGAUUUACUGGGCGUAAAGCGUGCGUAGGCGGCUUCUUAAGUCGGAUGUGAAAUCCCUGAGCUUAACUUAGGAAUUGCAUUCGAUACUGGGAAGCUAGAGUAUGGGAGAGGAUGGUAGAAUUCCAGGUGUAGCGGUGAAAUGCGUAGAGAUCUGGAGGAAUACCGAUGGCGAAGGCAGCCAUCUGGCCUAAUACUGACGCUGAGGUACGAAAGCAUGGGGAGCAAACAGGAUUAGAUACCCGGGUAGUCCAUGUCUCUUAUAC
rnacentral:rRNA from 1 species